AAAUUGACGGGGGCCCGCACAAGCGGUGGAGCAUGUGGUUUAAUUCGACGCUACGCGAAGAACCUUUACCUGGUCUUGACAUCCACGGAAGUUUUCAGAGAUGAGAAUGUGCCUUCGGGAACCGUGAGACAGGUGCUGCAUGGCUGUCGUCAGCUCGUGUUGUGAAAUGUUGGGUUAAGUCCCGCAACGAGCGCAACCCUUAUCCUUUGUUGCCAGCGGUCCGGCCGGGAACUCAAAGGAGACUGCCAGUGAUAAACUGGAGGAAGGUGGGAUGACGUCAAGUCAUCAUGGCCCUUACGACCAGGGCUACACACGUGCUACAAUGGCGCAUACAAAGAGAAGCGACCUCGCGAGAGCAAGCGGACCUCAUAAAGUGCGUCGUAGUCCGGAUUGGAGUCUGCAACUCGACUCCAUGAAGUCGGAAUCGCUAGUAAUCGUGGAUCAGAAUGCCACGGUCGAAUACGUUCCCGGGCCUU
rnacentral:rRNA from 1 species